rnacentral:tRNA from 1 species
GCGAAGGUGGCGGAUUGGUAGACGCGCUAGCUUCAGGUGUUAGUGUUCUUACGGACGUGGGGGUUCAAGUCCCCCCCCUCGCACCA